CGUCAGUGGAUGAUUGCUGGUAGUCUAGUCUGAUACUUUAUCAGCAGUUGUACCACUGAUUUG
rnacentral:pre_miRNA from 1 species